rnacentral:rRNA from 1 species
GACGAACGCUGGCGGCGUGCUUAACACAUGCAAGUCGAACGGAAAGGCCCUGCUUUUGUGGGGUGCUCGAGUGGCGAACGGGUGAGUAACACGUGAGUAACCUGCCCUUGACUUUGGGAUAACUUCAGGAAACUGGGGCUAAUACCGGAUAGGAGCUCCUGCUGCAUGGUGGGGGUUGGAAAGUUUCGGCGGUUGGGGAUGGACUCGCGGCUUAUCAGCUUGUUGGUGGGGUAGUGGCUUACCAAGGCUUUGACGGGUAGCCGGCCUGAGAGGGUGACCGGCAAAUUGGGAACGAGGUUACGGCCCAGACUCCUAGGGGGGGCAGAGGUGGGGAAUAUUGCACAAGGGGCGGAAGCUGAAGGCGGAAACGCGGCGGGGGGGAGGAGGGCCUUCGGGUGGUAAACGGCUUUCGCCGGUGACGAGGCGUGGGUGACGGUAAUGGGUAAGGAAGCACCGGCUAACUACGU